CCAGGGGAGCAUGCUCACGCUGAGGGCCAUUGAUCUGUCCUACUACACAGGCUCCCUGCACUGGAUACCCAUGACUGCAAGAAUACUGGCAGUUCACUGUGGACAGUUUGACAUCGACUGCGGGCGCCUGAGCAGCGUGCCCACGGUUGUCUUCGAGAUCCACGGCAAGAAGUACCCCCUGCCACCCUCCGCCUACACCAGCCAGGACCAGGGCUUCUGCACCAGUGGUUUCCAGGGUGACUAUAGUUCCCAGCAGUGGAUCCUCGGGGAUGUCUUCAUCCGGGAGUAUUACAGUGUCUUUGACAGGGCCAAUAACCUUGUGGGGCUGGCGAAGGCUGUCUGAUUGCAUCACUGGCCACGGACCUCAAUGUGACCAAACACACACAUGCACAUAGAUGAGAUGUGCAGGCAGAUGGUUCCCAAUAAACACCGCAUUUCUGCA
rnacentral:sRNA from 1 species